UACGUAGGUGGCAAGCGUUGUCCGGAUUUACUGGGUGUAAAGGGAGCGUAGACGGCGGUGCAAGCCAGAUGUGAAAGCCCGGGGCUCAACCCCGGGACUGCAUUUGGAACUGUGCUGCUAGAGUGUCGGAGAGGCAGGCGGAAUUCCUAGUGUAGCGGUGAAAUGCGUAGAUAUUAGGAGGAACACCAGUGGCGGAGGCGGCUUACUGGACUGUAACUGACGUUGAGGCUCGAAAGUGCGGGUAUCAAACAGG
rnacentral:rRNA from 1 species